UAGCCGUAAACGAUACUCGCUAGGUGUCGGCCACGGUGCGACCGUUGUCGGUGCCGUAGGGAAGCCGUGAAGCGAGCCACCUGGGAAGUACGGCCGCAAGGCUGAAACUUAAAGGAAUUGGCGGGGGAGCACCACAACAGGUGGAGCCUGCGGUUUAAUUGGACUCAACGCCGGGAAGCUCACCGGAUAGGACAGCAGAAUGAUUGCCGGGCUGAAGACCCUGCAUGACUAGCUGAGAGGUGGUGCAUGGCGUAGACGUCU
rnacentral:rRNA from 1 species